UAGGGAAUCUUCCACAAUGGACGCAAGUCUGAUGGAGCAACGCCGCGUGAGUGAAGAAGGGUUUCGGCUCGUAAAGCUCUGUUGGUGGUGAAGAAAGAUAGAGGUAGUAACUGGCCUUUAUUUGACGGUAAUCACCUAGAAAGUCACGGCUAACUACGUGCCAGCAGCCGCGGUAAUACGUAGGUGGCAAGCGUUGUCCGGAUUUAUUGGGCGUAAAGCGAGUGCAGGCGGUUCAAUAAGUCUGAUGUGAAAGCCUUCGGCUCAACCGGAGAAUUGCAUCAGAAACUGUUGAACUUGAGUGCAGAAGAGGAGAGUGGAACUCCAUGUGUAGCGGUGGAAUGCGUAGAUAUCUGGAGGAACAUCAGUGGCGAAGGCGACUAUCUGGCACAUAACUGACACUGAGGAGCGAAAGCGUGGGUAGCAAACAGGAUUAGAUACC
rnacentral:rRNA from 1 species